UAAUGGUCUUUGCUGUUGAGUAGUAACAUU
rnacentral:piRNA from 1 species